GACGAACCGUGCGAACGUUAUUCGGAAUCACUGGGCUUAAAGCGCGUGUAGGCGGGCCGCCGCGUCGGUUGCUGAAAUCCCCCGGCUCAACCGGGGAACGGGCAGCGAUACGGGCGGCCUGGAGGGGGGUAGGGGGGCCGGAACGUCAGCGGUGGAGCGGUGAAAUGCGUUGGAGAUCGUGAGGAACGCCCGUGGCGAAAGCGGGCCCCUGGACC
rnacentral:rRNA from 1 species